rnacentral:rRNA from 1 species
AGUAACGCGUAUGCAAUCUACCUUUCACAGGGGGAUAGCCCAGAGAAAUUUGGAUUAAUACCUCAUAGUAUAACGACUCGCCAUCGAGAUGUUAUUAAAGUCACAACGGUGAAAGAUGAGCAUGCGUCCCAUUAGCUUGUUGGUAAGGUAACGGCUUACCAAGGCUACGAUGGGUAGGGGUCCUGAGAGGGAGAUCCCCCACACUGGUACUGAGACACGGACCAGACUCCUACGGGAGGCAGCAGUGAGGAAUAUUGGUCAAUGGACGCAAGUCUGAACCAGCCAUGCCGCGUGCAGGAUGACGGUCCUACGGAUUGUAAACUGCUUUUGUACAGGAGGAAACAGUUCUACGUGUAGAACCUUGACGGUACUGUAAGAAUAAGGAUCGGCUAACUCCGUGCCAGCAGCCGCGGUAAUACGGAGGAUCCAAGCGUUAUCCGGAAUCAUUGGGUUUAAAGGGUCCGUAGGCGGUUUAGUAAGUCAGUGGUGAAAGCCCAUCGCUCAACGGUGGAACGGCCAUUGAUACUGCUAAACUUGAAUUAUUAGGAAGUAACUAGAAUAUGUAGUGUAGCGGUGAAAUGCUUAGAGAUUACAUGGAAUACCAAUUGCGAAGGCAGGUUACUACUAAUGGAUUGACGCUGAUGGACGAAAGCGUGGGUAGCGAACAGGAUUAGAUACCCUGGUAGUCCACGCCGUAAACGAUGGAUACUAGCUGUUGGAAGCAAUUUCAGUGGCUAAGCGAAAGUGAUAAGUAUCCCACCUGGGGAGUACGUUCGCAAGAAUGAAACUCAAAGGAAUUGACGGGGGCCCGCACAAGCGGUGGAGCAUGUGGUUUAAUUCGAUG